UCUCCUAUAGCUCAGUCGGUAGAGCAAUCGGCUGUUAACCGAUGUGUCGUAGGUUCGAGUCCUAUUGGGAGAG
rnacentral:tRNA from 1 species